rnacentral:rRNA from 1 species
UGAGCAAUCUGCCCUUCUCUUCGGAAUAAGCGUGGGAAACCGCGUCUAAUGCCGAAUACGACCUCCUUUCGCAUGAUCGGAGGUGGAAAGCUCCGGCGGAGAAGGAUGAGCUCGCGGCCUAUCAGCUAGUUGGUGUGGGUAAUGGCCCACCAAGGCGACGACGGGUAGCCGGCCUGAGAGGGUGACCGGCCACACUGGGACUGAGACACGGCCCAGACCUCCGUACGGGGAGGCAGGCG